rnacentral:tRNA from 1 species
GCCGAAGUGGUGGAACUGGCAGACGCGCUGCGUUCAGGGCGCAGUGAGCAGUACGCUCGUGAGGGUUCAAAUCCCUCCUUCGGCACCA